UUCUUUUGCUCCCCAUGGCCUCAGCGAUAGUUUCACUUCCGGCAGUUUCUCUGUUAGACGUCAUCAAGGUCAGAAAUUGAUGAAACCAAUCUAAAGUAAGUUUUAAUUUCUCAAUUGUUCAAUAGAAUAAACCUACAAAGCUACGUCACUGAUACAUUCUCAAUUGUAGCAACAUUCAAGGAGUAUUUUUCAACCACUACAUUGACGAACAAGUUAUACCAAAAGGAACCGUCUACAAAUGCUUCAGCGAUGCGGUGAGAUACUUAAUGAAACAUUACAUAUUUGUAUUGUCCUGUAAGGCUUCAGAGCCAAAAAAAACUGAGAUCAUGUAAUGGAAUAGGAAAUCAGGUAGAGAAUGAAACAGACCUGGACAAUCUUGGCGAGGAGAAUCUCGGAUACGGAAGUAUUUCUCAAAUGUACCAGCCCAUGCAUCUCUCU
rnacentral:lncRNA from 1 species